GAUGAACGCUGGCGGCGUGCCUAAUACAUGCAAGUCGAGCGAACAGAUGAGGAGCUUGCUCCUUUGACGUUAGCGGCGGACGGGUGAGUAACACGUGGAUAACCUACCUAUAAGACUGGGAUAACUUCGGGAAACCGGAGCUAAUACCGGAUAAUAUAUUGAACCGCAUGGUUCAAUAGUGAAAGACGGUUUUGCUGUCACUUAUAGAUGGAUCCGCGCCGCAUUAGCUAGUUGGUAAGGUAACGGCUUACCAAGGCGACGAUGCGUAGCCGACCUGAGAGGGUGAUCGGCCACACUGGAACUGAGACACGGUCCAGACUCCUACGGGAGGCAGCAGUAGGGAAUCUUCCGCAAUGGGCGAAAGCUUGACGGAGCAACGCCGCGUGAGUGAUGAAGGUCUUCGGAUCGUAAAACUCUGUUAUUAGGGAAGAACAAAUGUGUAAGUAACUAUGCACGUCUUGACGGUACCUAAUCAGAAAGCCACGGCUAACUACGUG
rnacentral:rRNA from 1 species